GACGUAGGGGGCCAGCGUUGUUCGGAAUUACUGGGUGUAAAGGCUCGUAGGCGGCCAACUAAGUCGGAUGUGAAAUCCCCAGGCUUAACCUGGGAACUGCAUCCGAUACUGGAUGGCUUGAAUCCGGGAGAGGGAUGCAGAAUUCCAGGUGUAGCGGUGAAAUGCGUAGAUAUCUGGAGGAAUACCGGUGGCGAAGGCGGCAUCCUGGACCGGCAUUGACGCUGAUGAGCGAAAAGCUAGGGGAGCAAACGGGG
rnacentral:rRNA from 1 species